GGUUAAGCGACUAAGCGUACACGGUGGAUGCCUAGGCAAUCAGAGGCGAUGAAGGACGUGCUAAUCUGCGAUAAGCGUCGGUAAGGUGAUAUGAACCGUUACAACCGACGAUUUCCGAAUGGGAAACCCAGUGCAAUUCGUUGCACUAUCGUUUGAUGAAUACAUAGUCAAACGAAGCGAACCGGGGAACUGAAACAUCUCAGUACCCCGAGGAAAGAAAUCAACCGAGAUUCCCUAGUAGCGGCGAGCGAACGGGGAGCAGCCCAGAGUCUUAAUCAGCAUUAGCAUCAGGAGAACGGUCUGGAAAGUCCGGCAGUAAAGGGUGAUAGCCCGUAUCCGAAGGUGUUAGUGUUGUGAACUCGACGAGUAGGGCGGGACACGUGUUAUCCUGUCUGAAUAUGGGGACCAUCCUCCAAGGCUAAAUACUCCUGAUUGACCGAUAGUGAACCAGUACCGUGAGGGAAAGGCGAAAAGAACCCCGGCGAGGGAGUGAAAUAGAACCUGAAACCGUGUACGUACAAGCAGUGGGAGCCCCAUCACCAAGUGCUCGGCAAUUGGUGAGUUGCCAACAAGAUUGGUCGAUUUUUGCAGUGUACAUUAUGACAUUUGAGGAUGGGGUGACUGCGUACCUUUGUAUAAUGGGUCAGCGACUUAUAUUCUGUAGCAAGGUUAACCGUAUAGGGAGCCGUAGGGAAACCGAGUCUUAACUGGGCGAAUAAGUUGCAGGGUAUAGACCCGAAACCCGGUGAUCAGCCAUGGGCAGGUUGAAGGUUGGGUAACACUAACUGGAGGACCGAACCGACUAAUGUUGAAAAAUUAGCGGAUGACUUGUGGCUGGGGUGAAAGGCCAAUCAAACCGGGAGAUAGCUGGUUCUCCCGAAAGCUAUUUAGGUAGCGCCUCGUGAACUCAUCUUCGGGGGUAGAGCACUGUUUCGACUAGGGGGUCAUCCCGACUUACCAACUCGAUGCAAACUACGAAUACCGAAGAAUGUUAUCACGGGAGACACACGGCGGGUGCUAACGUUCGUCGUGAAGAGGGAAACAACCCAGACCGCCAGCUAAGGUCCCAAAGUCAUAGUUAAGUGGGAAACGAAGUGGGAAGGCUCAGACAGCCAGGAUGUUGGCUUAGAAGCAGCCAUCAUUUAAAGAAAGCGUAAUAGCUCACUGGUCGAGUCGGCCUGCGCGGAAGAUGUAACGGGGCUAAACUAUGCACCGAAGCUGCGGCAGCGAUAUGUAAAUAUUGUUGGGUAGGGGAGCGUUCUGUAAGCCUGUGAAGGUGUGCUGUGAGGCAUGCUGGAGGUAUCAGAAGUGCGAAUGCUGACAUAAGUAACGAUAAUGCGGGUGAAAACCCGCACGCCGGAAGACCAAGGGUUCCUGUCCAACGUUAAUCGGGGCAGGGUGAGUCGACCCCUAAGGCGAGGCAGAAAUGCGUAGUCGAUGGGAAACGGGUUAAUAUUCCCGUACUGGUGAUAAUUGCGAUGGGGGACGGAGAAGGCUAGGCUAUCCGGGCGACGGUUGUCCCGGUUUAAGGAUGUAGGCAGGUGAAUUAGGCAAAUCCGGUUCACUAUAUGCUGAGGUCCGACGACGAGUCACUACGGUGAUGAAGUAGCUCAUGCCCCGCUUCCAGGAAAAGCCUCUAAGCUCUAGAUUAUCAUUAAUCGUACCCCAAACCGACACAGGUGGUCAGGUAGAGAAUACUCAGGCGCUUGAGAGAACUCGGGUGAAGGAACUAGGCAAAAUGGUGCCGUAACUUCGGGAGAAGGCACGCUGGCAUUAGGUGAAGUGAUUUACCAUGGAGCUGAAGCCAGUCGCAGAUACCAGCUGGCUGCAACUGUUUAUUAAAAACACAGCACUGUGCAAACACGAAAGUGGACGUAUACGGUGUGACGCCUGCCCGGUGCUGGAAGGUUAAUUGAUGGGGUUAUCCGUAAGGAGAAGCUCUUGAUCGAAGCCCCAGUAAACGGCGGCCGUAACUAUAACGGUCCUAAGGUAGCGAAAUUCCUUGUCGGGUAAGUUCCGACCUGCACGAAUGGCGUAAUGAUGGCCAGGCUGUCUCCACCCGAGACUCAGUGAAAUUGAACUCGCUGUGAAGAUGCAGUGUACCCGCGGAAAGACCCCGUGAACCUUUACUAUAGCUUGACACUGAACAUUGAGCCUUGAUGUGUAGGAUAGGUGGGAGGCUUUGAAGCGUGGACGCCAGUCUGCGUGGAGCCAACCUUGAAAUACCACCCUUUAAUGUUUGAUGUUCUAACGUUGCCCCAUUAUCUGGGGUGCGGACAGUGUCUGGUGGGUAGUUUGACUGGGGCGGUCUCCUCCCAAAGAGUAACGGAGGAGCACGAAGGUUGGCUAAGCAUGGUCGGACAUCAUGCGGUUAGUGCAAAGGCAUAAGCCAGCUUGACUGCGAGAGUGACGGCUCGAGCAGGUACGAAAGUAGGUCUUAGUGAUCCGGUGGUUCUGAAUGGAAGGGCCAUCGCUCAACGGAUAAAAGGUACCGGGGAUAACAGGCUGAUACCGCCCAAGAGUUCAUAUCGACGGCGGUGUUUGGCACCUCGAUGUCGGCUCAUCACAUCCUGGGGCUGAAGUAGGUCCCAAGGGUACGGCUGUUCGCCGUUUAAAGUGGUACGCGAGCUGGGUUUAGAACGUCGUGAGACAGUUCGGUCCCUAUCUGCCGUGGGCGUUGGAAGAUUGAAAGGGGCUGCUCCUAGUACGAGAGGACCGGAGUGGACGCACCACUGGUGUUCGGGUUGUCAUGCCAAUGGCAUUGCCCGGUAGCUAAGUGCGGAAGAGAUAACCGCUGAAAGCAUCUAAGCGGGAAACUUGCCUUGAGAUGAGUCUUCCCUGACUCUUUAAGGGUCCUAAAGGAACGUUUAAGACUAAGACGUUGAUAGGUUGGGUGUGUAAGCGUAGCGAUACGUUGAGCUAACCAAUACUAAUGAACCGUGAGGCUUAACCUG
rnacentral:rRNA from 1 species